CAUUACCGAGUUUACAACUCCCAAACCCCUGUGAACAUACCACUUGUUGCCUCGGCGGAUCAGCCCGCUCCCGGUAAAACGGGACGGCCCGCCAGAGGACCCCUAAACUCUGUUUCUAUAUGUAACUUCUGAGUAAAACCAUAAAUAAAUCAAAACUUUCAACAACGGAUCUCUUGGUUCUGGCAUCGAUGAAGAACGCAGCAAAAUGCGAUAAGUAAUGUGAAUUGCAGAAUUCAGUGAAUCAUCGAAUCUUUGAACGCACAUUGCGCCCGCCAGUAUUCUGGCGGGCAUGCCUGUUCGAGCGUCAUUUCAACCCUCAAGCACAGCUUGGUGUUGGGACUCGCGUUAAUUCGCGUUCCUCAAAUUGAUUGGCGGUCACGUCGAGCUUCCAUAGCGUAGUAGUAAAACCCUCGUUACUGGUAAUCGUCGCGGCCACGCCGUUAAACCCCAACUUCUGAAUGUUGACCUCGGAUCAGGUAGGAAUACCCGCUGAACUUAAGCAUAUCAAA
rnacentral:rRNA from 2 species